UACGUUUAGGGUUUAGAGUUGAUGUUUUGGGGUUUAGAUUUGAAAGUUUUGGGUUUAGGGUUUAGAGUUGAUGUUUCGGGGUUUAGGGUUUAGAGUUGAUGUUUCAGAGUUUAGUGUUUAGAGUUGAUGAUUUAGGGUUUUGAGUUGAUGUUUUAAAUUUAGAUUUGAAGGUUUAGGGUUUAGAGUUUAGAGUUGAUGUUUCGGGGUUUAGAGUUUAGAGUUGAUGUUUCGGGGUUUAGAGUUUAGAGUUGAUGUUUCAUGGUUUUGGGUUUAGAGUUGAUGUUUUAAGUUUAAAUUAGUUAACCAUAUGUUUUUUUUGUUAAAGUUAAUCAAAGGAUUAUAAAUGUCGUUUACCCUUCAUUAAAGAUGAAAG
rnacentral:lncRNA from 1 species